GCCAGCUUGGGGGGCCUGGGUGCUAGUUUCCUUUGCCCCAAAAGACUUGCUUUGGUCCGGUUUCCUCGCCUCUGUCCCAUCACCACCUCCUCGGACUGGCGGCCGGGAUUCACCAGGCCUUCAGUGUCCUGGCCUGAGGUUCUUUCUUGGGAUCCUUGUAUCAGCAGCUCAGCCUAAACAUCACCACUUCCAAGAAGGCACCCUUGACCACCAGACACAUAGAGGCAGACACGGGCAGAGGGAGAAGCAGGCUUCAUGCAGGGAGCCCGACG